rnacentral:rRNA from 1 species
GACGAACGCUGGCGGCGUGCCUAAUACAUGCAAGUAGAACGCUGAAGGAGGAGCUUGCUUCUCCGGAUGAGUUGCGAACGGGUGAGUAACGCGUAGGUAACCUGCCUGGUAGCGGGGGAUAACUAUUGGAAACGAUAGCUAAUACCGCAUAACAGUAGAUAUCGCAUGAUAUCUGCUUGAAAGGUGCAAUUGCAUCACUACCAGAUGGACCUGCGUUGUAUUAGCUAGUUGGUGAGGUAACGGCUCACCAAGGCGACGAUACAUAGCCGACCUGAGAGGGUGAUCGGCCACACUGGGACUGCAACACGGCCCAGUCUCCUACGGGAGGCAGCAGUAGGGAAUCUUCGGCAAUGGACGGAAGUCUGACCGAGCAACGCCGCGUGAGUGAAGAAGGUUUUCGGAUCGUAAAGCUCUGUUGUAAGAGAAGAACGAGUGUGAGAGUGGAAAGUUCACACUGUGACGGUAUCUUACCAGAAAGGGACGGCUAACUACGUG